UUUGAUCUAUGAUGACCUCUUAAUACAGUGUGGACUGUUGGAUGAAACUUGCGGAUAUGGGACUGAGAUCAGAG
ensembl:snoRNA